UACGUAGGGUGCGAGCGUUGCCCGGAUUUAUUGGGCGUAAAGGGCGCGUAGGCGGUGCCGUACGUCCGUUGUGAAAUCGCUCGGCUCAACUGGGCGGGGUCAGCGGAUACGGUGGCACUUGAGCAAGCUAGGGGGCAAUGGAAUUCCCGGUGUAGUGGUGGAAUGCGCAGAUAUCAGGAGGAACACCGGUGGCGAAGGCGGGUCUCUGGGCCGAUACUGACACUGAGAAGCGAAAGCGUGGGGAGCGAACAGG
rnacentral:rRNA from 1 species